rnacentral:rRNA from 1 species
GAUGAACGCUGGCGGCGUGCCUAAUACAUGCAAGUCGAGCGAACGGACGAGAAGCUUGCUUUUCUGAUGUUAGCGGCGGACGGGUGAGUAACACGUGGAUAACCUACCUAUAAGACUGGGAUAACUUCGGGAAACCGGAGCUAAUACCGGAUAAUAUUUUGAACCGCAUGGUUCAUAAGUGAAAGACGGUCUUGCUGUCACUUAUAGAUGGAUCCGCGCUGCAUUAGCUAGUUGGUAAGGUAACGGCUUACCAAGGCAACGAUGCAUAGCCGACCUGAGAGGGUGAUCGGCCACACUGGAACUGAGACACGGUCCAGACUCCUACGGGAGGCAGCAGGAGGGAAUCUUCCGCAAUGGGCGAAAGCCUGACGGAGCAACGCCGCGUGAGUGAUGAAGGUCUUCGGAUCGUAAAACUCUGUUAUUAGGGAAGAACAUAUGUGUAAGUAACUGUGCACAUCUUGACGGUACCUAAUCAGAAAGCCACGGCUAACUACGU